rnacentral:rRNA from 1 species
CGUAGGGUGCAAGCGUUGUCCGGGAUUAUUGGGCGUAAAGAGCUCGUAGGCGGUCUGUCGCGUCGGCUGUGAAAACCCGUGGCUCAACCCCGGGCCUGCAGUCGAUACGGGCAGACUAGAGUGCGGUAGGGGAGACUGGAAUUCCUGGUGUAGCGGUGAAAUGCGCAGAUAUCAGGAGGAACACCAAUAGCGAAGGCAGCUCGCUGGGACGUUACUGACACUGAGGCGCGAAAGCGUGGGGAGCGAACAGG